UAGGCUUUAAGUGGGAAGAAAAAAGCUAACUCUGCUCAAAAGUAAAGGAGAAAGGCCGGAAGGUAAGAGUUUACAAGGCCCAGAAGCUCCGAACGAGGACAGAAAUUAGGCAGCCCAUAGGGGACACGAGUUCAAGCCCUGGUCCGGAAAGAUCCCACAUGCCACGGAGCAACCAAGCCCGUGCGCCACAACUACUGAGCCUGUGCUCUAGAGCCCGCAUGCCACAACUACUGAAGCCCGCGCACCUAGAGCCCGUGCUCCGCAACAAGAGAAGCCACCACAAUGAGAAGACCGCACACUGCAACGAAGAGUAGCCCCCUCUCACUGCAACUAGAGAAAGCCCGCGUGCAGCAACAAAGACCCAAUGCAGCCAGAAAAAUAAUAACGAUAAUAAUAAAAUAAAAUAAAUAUAUUUUAAAAAACAAA